GAUGAACGCUAGCUACAGGCUUAACACAUGCAAGUCGAGGGGAAACGAUAGAGAAAGCUUGCUUUUUCUAGGCGUCGACCGGCGCACGGGUGAGUAACGCGUAUCCAACCUGCCCACCACUUGGGGAUAACCUUGCGAAAGUAAGACUAAUACCCAAUGACGUCUCUAGAAGACAUCUGAAAGGGAUUAAAGAUUUAUCGGUGAUGGAUGGGGAUGCGUCUGAUUAGCUUGUUGGCGGGGUAACGGCCCACCAAGGCUACGAUCAGUAGGGGUUCUGAGAGGAAGGUCCCCCACAUUGGAACUGAGACACGGUCCAAACUCCUACGGGAGGCAGCAGUGAGGAAUAUUGGUCAAUGGGCGAGAGCCUGAACCAGCCAAGUAGCGUGCAGGAUGACGGCCCUAUGGGUUGUAAACUGCUUUUAUAAGGGAAUAAAGUGAGUCUCGUGAGGCUUUUUGCAUGUACCUUAUGAAUAAGGACCGGCUAAUUCCGUG
rnacentral:rRNA from 1 species